rnacentral:rRNA from 1 species
UACGGAGGGUGCAAGCGUUAUCCGGAAUUACUGGGCGUAAAGCGUGCGUAGACGGCUAUCUAAGUCGGGUGUGAAAGCCCCGGGCUCAACCUGGGAAUUGCAUUCGAGACUGAAUAGCUAGGGUGCGGUAGAGGGAAGCGGAAUUUCCGGUGUAGCGGUGAAAUGCGUAGAUAUCGGAAGGAACAUCAGUGGCGAAAGCGGCUUCCUGGACCAGCACCGACGUCAGGCACGAAAGCGUGGGGAGCAAACAGG